GAAGAAAGGAAGCAUCUUGGCCCCUGCCUUGGGGGCGACACGACCGUCCCCAAACACAGCGAGUCACUGGCCUGGGUCUUUGUGCAGAGGCCCCUCUAGGAGCGGGGAACCAACGAUGGCACGAACAUUGAUUUGAGGAGGAUGCUUCGCAGUUUACGAAAAAAUGAGUGCUAGAGGCGUUCAGAAACGGGAAAGAUCACUUUGUGCUCCUGUGAUCUGAAGGCUGCGUGAAGAAGAUGAGGCUUGGAAAAUAGACUUCCAAGUGCUGGCCUUCAUCUCCCCGCAAGAUGCGCCCCCUCCAACUCUCAGCCUUCAUCUUCCUACUGUCACUGUCUCCUUCACAAGGAGAGCAGCAAGAGAAAGAAAGAGAGAGGCAAGCGAA
rnacentral:lncRNA from 10 species